CAAAAAGUCACUAUAUUUGUUUCCCCUCUUUUUUCUUCCAGAUGGCUCUUGCCUUAGCAAAUUACUUGCUACAGAAGGUUGAGUUGCAGUUCCGUGACCCUCCUAGAAGGUGAAGAGUGUGGAACAAAUGGGUCACUUACUCUAGCAAAGAUGGGUGUUUUUGUUUUGUUUUUUUUGUUUUUUGUUUUAAACCAAUGCAUAAUGGAUCACCCUCUUCUCUGCCUUUCUCAAGAAGCUGGAUAAUUGUGAAGGGGAGAGGAUAUCAGUUUCUAUCAAGAAGCCUUUUUAAAAAAAAAACAGGAGAAUUCAAGAUACAGAAGGAUCUUGACAGACUUGAACAUUGGGCGCUAUCUAGCAAAAUGAAAUUCAACAGUGAAAAAAGUAAAGUUCUACAUUUAGGCAAGAAAAACAAAACGCACAGACUGAGUUCCUACAUCUCGUCCUCAAAGGCCACAUCCUCACAUCCAUGAAUCACCUUUAUUUAUAUCCUAUGAAUAUUUUGUAAGUCUUGAUGUUCUUCUGGAAAUGUGGUUUCCCAGAAUCUUGCACAUAUGCAGGUGUGAUUCCUUCCUUCCUUCCUUCCUUCCUUCCUUCCUUCCUUCCUUCCUUC